rnacentral:lncRNA from 1 species
GAUGAAUCAAUAUUUUCUUAACUAUAUUUAGUUUAUUGUACCGUAUUUAAUCAGGGAAUUGUACUUAAUUGUCCGAUAUUUUUCCAUUUCUGUAAAUUGUGCUUAAUUUGAUUAGUAAUUUUUAUUUUAACUAAUUUGAAUUAUCUGAGACUAAUUAUUUGCAUUAUUAAUUGUAGGGAAAGUAUUGGUUAAUAUUUUGGGACUUAAAGAAAAAUAACACAUCAAUUUUAUUUUAAGCUAAAAUGGAAGAUGGUGUGAAUUGCAUUUUUGGAGGUGCACAUGGUCUUUAGCUCUUGAAAGGAUGACACCUCCACCUUGUUUCCAACACAUAAAUGAAGCUAAAAUAUGCAGCAAAAGAGAAGAGUGUCACGGCCAAGUGAUUGCAUGUUGUUUUCAUUUGGUUUGAAAAUUAAAAAGCAAGAGAAAAAUGCACAUGACUACAUUAGUGUGUGAUGUUGAUUUAAUUGAAGAAAUGUGCAGCUACAUGUCACGGCCUACAUGUCCAAAUAGAAGGCUUAAUUCUUCUUGGUUUGAAGAAAAGGUUCAAAGAAAAUUAGCCAUUGGAAGCAUCACUUAAAGAAGCAAAGAUUGUAUUAUUUGAAGAAGACAAUGAAGCACAUGGCUUCCCUCACAUUCAAGGUCAUUACUCUUGGUUUUUGGCAACCAUCACACUUGAAUUCAAGGGCUGGAACGUUGCAUGACACUUAAAGAAAUUAAUAUGCAACAUAUGGGUUAUCAUAUUUAAUUGCCACAUGGCCAAAAUUGCAAAACCAAGGAAGCCACAUCCUUGCACACAUUCACGGCCAAGCAUGCUUGUAAAGGAGGUGAUAAUGAAUUAAAAUAUGGCUAGCAUGUAAUGGAAAAAAAGUGUGCCACCAACAAAUUCCAUUUCCUUUGCUAUGUAGCCGUAAAAGAAGGGGUGCUUGUCUAGCAAUAAUUUUCUAAAGAAGAUGGUGGCAAUGCUUGGAGAGUCAUGGACAACUAAGAGCACAUGGAAAGCAAAUACAAAAAUUAAAAGUAGAUGCCACAUGGAAAUAACCAAUACUUUCAGUUUUUACUGGAAGCCUCCAAAACAUGGAAAUUAAUUAUUUGCUUGGUUGGAAAAAUAACUUGGACAAUUAUUUUUUUUUGGAGAUAAGGAAAGAAAAAAAUAAAAAAACAAAAGGAGGGGGAGAGGAGACACUUGGAUAGAUUUGACUUGGAGAAGGAAAAUGGAGGUGUGGAAGCCAACCUAGGAGGAUUGUAGUUGCACAAGUUGAUUCAUGAAGGAAAGAAGAUGUCAAGUGAAGUUGGGUUAAAGACAACAAUACAACAACUUUGAUUCAAUUGGGAAGAGAUCACAUCCAAGUAUUUUUAUUUAUUCUUUUUAGUAGAGCAAUGAAUUGUGAUAUUGUUGUAAUUAAUUUUAUGAAUUUUGUUUUAAAAUAAUUUAAUUUCUGUUGUAUUUUAAUUUUAGUACUAUGUUUUUCAUGCAAUUUAAUUUUUACUGUUGUUUAUCUUUUACCAUAGAUUAAUUUCAUUUCAAUUAUUCACCUUAAUUCAGUUUUCUGUAUUCUGCUGCUGCAAUGCUGUUUCUGUUUCUGUUUUUG